GUGCUUGCUUCAGCAGCACAUAUACUAAAAUGGGAACGAUACAGAGAAGAUUAGCAUGGUCCCUGCGCAAGGAUGAUAUGAAAGUUCGUGAAGUAUUUCAUAUUUUA
ensembl:snRNA U6 U6 spliceosomal RNA